GAAAAAUGUAAUUAGCAUUUCGUUUGAAUCCCUCUUGGAGAAGUUUUCGGCCAAUUUUGGAGAUCUAAAUCAUAAUUUAGAUCUAUUUUACACCACGCCUGAAAAUGCCCUUAUGAAAACAAAACACAACUUAGGAAAAUGACAGAGAAACUGGGCCACGUUGUUGUUCUCAGUAGACUGAUAAAUCCACUGGUUUUAAGACAAUCUUAAUAAUAAUUUCCCCUAUCAAAUGUUUGGACAUAUUAAGAAAUCGUGCAACAACAUACGAUAUCAUAGAAACAAAAACAUGAAAACAAAUUAUUAUAUAAGCAGACAGAGUUCGUUUUUUAAGUACAAGUUCAACAAACUACUAUUCAAAAUAUUGUCCAAAAAGUUAGUCGGAAUUCUGAAAUGUAUAUGGUCUAAUUCAGUGACCUCAAAUUUUACAAGUUUUUGACUUGGCAAAGCUACAUGAUCUGACGUUCUGGUUUUUCCCGUGGAAUACAAGAAGAGUUGCUGGGCUUUCCUACCUCAUCUGAUCGGGAUAAUUCUAGAAUUUGAUUUUUCGACAGCCGGCAGGUAAAGGAACUUUUUCUUGAUCAUUCUUUGCUGUUUGUGAAAUUAAAGCUAAAGGGAGAAAAGUCUGUCAAGAAC
rnacentral:lncRNA from 1 species